ensembl:lncRNA
CUCUACUCGGUUACAUAGUUUAUGAGGACCUUGGAGGACAAACAGAAACGUCCUGUCCUUUAGCCGCUUCUUUUGUUGUUUAAAUGUCUGCAUUUGUAAUAGUCAUUAUGUCUAGCAACUAUAAUGACCCUCUUAAAUGUUAUUACGCGAGAUGUUUACGCUGUUCGCGGACGAAGCGGUGUUGACUGACGCGAUGCAAGUAAUAUAGUUGAAAAAUUAGUAGCCAGGCUGACAUGAUCCAUUGAGGCCACACAUAAAACAUCUUGCCAUCUGCACUCCAAGCGUGGUUUUCGGCUGCAUUCCCCCAUCCUUGCUUUUUCCUGCCUGUGUGCAGCCUGACCCCUCUCUUUCCUUUUCCAGGCUACAGUGGCCCAAUGCAAAGAAGCUUUCAAAGGCACUGUCUGCUCAAAUCAAGUCAGGGGCCCUUUUUAGACUCGACUCAAAGAUCAUAGCAAGUUGAAGUCAGGGAGGAGGAUGACCCUUCCCUUCAGGCUUGAUCGGAUCUUGGCCCAGUCAAAGCCAGUAGGGUUGUGUCUCUGUGUGGCCACGUCUCUAUGGGACCAGGCUGUGUGAUAGUGGGAAUGAAAGAGGGCACCAGCCUGAGCUACAGUAUUGCCGUGUCAGGCCCCGUGUCCCUGCGGUCUCUCAGAGCAAACGGGGGAGGCAGAGGACACAGCCAGCGGGGUUGCGGGCCCGCAGCCAGACCUACAGACUGUGACAUGUCAUACCAGGGCUGUCCUAGUGCUUUUACUUCUGAACUUUGGGAUCAGGUCAGGCCUGUGAUGAAGGGCAGACAAAGAGGAAAGGAAACAAAGGACCAUGUAGAAAUGCUGAAUAUUCAACAAGACUGACAUGGUUAAAGACUUAUCUGCAGUUAAUAGAAACAUUGAAGCACGACUAGGAUUGGGUUACGAGGAUCGUUCUUAUUUACCAGUUCAAUAAAAAAAAAAUAAAAAAAAAUAACCCAUACCAAAUUGUUGUUUUUAGACUUCUUAAUGAGUUACAGUGAGGUCAAUGUAGCGAGAUGUUAUUUAUUAUUAUUUUUUAUUUUUUUUGCAAUUUACAAGUGACCAUGGG